UAACAUUUUAUCAUCUCUAAGUCAUCUCUCAUCUUUAAAAUAUUUAUAUCUAUAUGAAAAUGAAAUGAAAGGAAGAAUUGAUAUUCAAGAAUUGAAUAAUCUAACAAAUCUAAAAGUGUUGGAUAUAUGGGGCAACGAAAUUGAAGGCUUUAAAUCUUUACAUGGUGGUGAAAAAUUACUAAAUAUGAGCAAUCUGUAGGAUCUUGAUCUAAGUGACAAUCACUUUGGCAUUGACAUUUUACCAUUCCUUAAGGGGCUUUCAUCUCUCAAAACUCUAUGGAUAGG